AGACUGCCUGAGUCUUCUGACCUUCAUCUUUCCCCUGUGUUGGAUGCCUCCUGCCCUCAAACAUCAGACUCCAGGUUCUUCAGCUUUUGGACUCUUGGACCUACCCCCCGAGUGGUUUGCCAGGGGCUCUCAGGCCUUCGGCUACAGACUGAGGGCUGCAUUAUCAGCUUUCCUACUUUUGAGGUUUUGGGACUUUACUGGCUUUCUUGCUCCUCAACUUGCAGAUGGCCUGUUGUGGGACCUCACCUUGUGAUCAUGUACAUGAGGGAAAUACACACCCCUCCCAGGGAUGAUGGAAGGUUAAGGUCCUAACACCUCCUGCACAUCUGAGCAGCUGCACAUUGAACCAGAUAGUCCUGGAAUGUGGGAAAACAGAGGCAGACUCAAGAGUCUGGAACAUUAUUUUAGGAUCACACAAAAAAGAUACAUAAUUUUCAUAGAAUGAUACUGAAAGCAUCUCAAAAAUAAAAUCACGAGUAUCUGCAGAUCACUAUGAGACUGGACUGGAACAUUACCUUCAGGUGUGUUGCUUCGCCUUUGGAGAAUGCCAUCUGCCAGAUAUGGGAUCAACCUCUUAAGUCUAACAUAGCAAAGAAUAUCCCCCAUACCAUUUUACUGAAGAAAAACAACAAACAGCAGUUCCUUCCGCCACACUGGGUCUUAGCACAUGCAGAGCUGUGGAGUCCUGUCUGUGCACAGAGACAGGCAUUGACAGGUGGAGUCAGCUUCUCCACCACUGACAUCUUUCCAAGUCAGUGCUGUGCUAUGUCUGCAAAUGAGAAAGGGGCAGCCUGGAUGAUGCUAUAAUUGGCAGUACCAACUCCAUGGAAAUAUUCAGAGGCUUCAGCUGUCAUUUUAAAACUGUCCUUCAGGUGGUGCCAUGUCAAAGGGAAGGGACCUGCACGACUGCCCAAGGUUCCAGAUACCUUAAGAGUUAAGCAGGGAUUGGAUGCUGGGGUUCCCGUGUUCAUUUGCCCCUUUAUUCAACUAGUGCUUACUAAGUGCUUAAUGCAUCCCAAAUUAUGGAAGGACCUGGGAACAUAUGUAAGACACUAUUCAUGCUUUCAAGUUGCUUGUAGUUUAGUCAAGGAGCCAGCUUAGCAUCUAAAACCAUGCAACCCCAAUUUCUAACCACCAGUCAACUCUCCAGUAAGCCUUCUUCAUGGUAAUGGCCUUUGGGAUGGUGGGGCCAUAACGUAGGGUUACUUGGGGAAAGCCAGCACCUUGCACACAUCUAUCCUGCCCUGUCCCUGAAAUCCCCCAGAUCCAUCCACACAUCACAAAUCUGCUGCUCCAUAAAGAAGAGCCUGACAUGGGCUUGUGGAGGAAGCAAUUGAUCAGAAAGAUGCUCUUGAUCUAAUUUUAUCUGUUUUUCUGCCAUUGCCUCUUUCCAAAUUCUUGCCCAUGUGGUUUUCUCUUGGUAAUCCAUGUGGCCCUGGUCCGGGGCCUCCAUAUCUCUUGUGACUUAAGUUUAGCUCACUCUCCCAAUUUUCAGAGUUUCCUGUCUUUUUCAGCUUGUGUUGAGAUAACAGCAACUUGAGUAUCUCCAGACGUUAAUACUUCCCAAUGGGUACCUGUCUUUGGGCUUUAUCUCUACUGUCUCUACUCUACAUAAUUUUAAUUGGGUCUAAUUUAGAAAUAUUUUCCUCUAUAUUUUUACUUUUUAUUUUUUAUGGCCUCUUGCUUUUUAAAAUUUAUGGUUAUGGCCUGUUUAAGAACUUCUCUACUUUUUACAUAUUUUCUCACAUUUUCACCUCUUUUACAAUUUUGCCUCUAUUUCAACUGGUAUUUAUUUUGGCGAAUGAUAGGAAUCAGGGUGGUAGAGUGCCUAUAACUUUUUUUCUUCUGCACAGAUUGGCAAUUAACUCAGGAUCAUUUCUGGAAUGAGCUAUCCUUUCUUCAAUGAUCUAAAAUGCCGUCUUUUUCAUUUUCUUAUUUCUUUUAUACAUACGGGUCUUCCAGUUCCGUUUCAUAGAUUACGGCCCUGUGGCUACGGCAAAGCAUAGUAACUUUAUCAUACAUUUUCACAUCUGUUAAGGCUAUUUUCCCCUCUUUGUGUUUUAGUUAGCACAUUUAUUUUAGUUAGUCAAGUUUUCCCCCAGAAGUAUGUUGGGAUUUUGAAUAGGAUUGCACUGAAUUUAUAGAUUGGUUGUAGGCAGGGUUAAUACCUUUGUAAUAUUGGGUUUUUCUUUCUGUAAAUGAUUUAGAUAUUUUAAUAUGACUACAUCACCCCCAGCCAUAUUAAUUCCUUUUACGGCCUUAUGUCCUUCCUAGCUCUAGUCAGUCCUUUACAUUGUGUUAUGAAUUUGUUCACUUGUUUAUUGUCUGUGUCUCCACCUAGAGUGAACACAAAAUUUCCAGAUUCUAGAUCAAUGUGUAGAACAUAGUAGGUGCUCGGGAAUUAUCGUUUUAUUGAUUGAAUGAAAUAACCUUGACUUCCUAAGGCCUAUAGCCCUCAGUUUGAGAAAUUCCUUUUUUUUUUUUUUUAACUUUCUUAUUUGCUGUUUGGUUCUUAUUCCAUUGACUGCUCACCCCACUGCCUCAUUACCCUUAGCAAGCUGAGAAAACUGGGUUAUCAAUUCACAUGUGUGCUUGCAGCCUUGUUUCACUUGGCUAUAACCCCUGUUGGCAUUCGUCAUCCAUCAUUUCCCUCCUGCCUUGGGUGUCCCAAAGCCGCACCUGCUGGUUUCCUCCACCUCGCCGCGGUGUCUUUUCAGCCUCCCUGAAGGCUGUUCUGCUUCUAUCCCGACCUCAAGCGAUGCAUCCUGGGGAGAGGUUCCUCCUUGGCUCUGUCCUUGGUAUCUCUCCCUCAGAAUUGCAUCAUUUCAAUUUCCACCAGAUACUGAUGACUCACAUUUUCUUUUUUGGGCUAAAUCUCAUGUUUGUUUGUUUGUUUUUUCCAGACACAUUGAUAUGACUACAUGCUGGACAUUUUCUUGCGGAAAUCCAAAAGAAAUCCCCAUUUUCUUGCAGAAAUCUAAAAUAAUCUCCCCUAUGUGCAAGUCAGACUGAGCACCACUCCCAAGACCAUGACCUCCCCUGCAGCCCUGCUCCUUCCCACUCACCUCUCCUCUUGAGAAAGCCACCUCCCACCACCCAGUCUGCAGUGCCAGAAAACUGGAAACCAGCCCCUAAGCUGCUUUCACCUUCGGCCCAUUUCUCACUAGCCAGCCUCUCCCACGGCCUCCCCAGUUUCUUCAAAUACACCCCCUCCACUAUUCACCAUACUGCCACCGUGAUUUAUUUACAACUUUUUGUCCGGAUUACCUCAGUAGCCUUCUAAUUGUCCCCUUUGCAUCUAAAGUAGCCCCUCUCAUCCCCCAAAUCUUACGUCACUCUUCUACAUAAUUCUGGCUUUCCAUGACCCAUAAACCACAUUUCUCAAGUGUGCUCUAUGCUGGCUUGAAUAUGUUAAUAAUCUUAAUUCUACUUUUAGUGCAAUUUUCUUAGAGCUGGCAUCACUUUCAUCAUGACGUGAGAACUUACUAGAGAUAGGCAAUGAUGACUCACAGUCAAGCCACAUGUCAUAUGCUGCAGACAUCUGGACUGCUGCUUAUUUGCAAAUCCUUUUCUUCAUAUUUUUCUCAUUUGUAGCACUGGAUCAAUUCCAAUUAAGAGUUUAAUAAUGAAUUAACUAAUGAUUUAAACAGGUGGAUAAGACUAACACUGAACCAAUGAUUUUAAGUAAAUCUAAAUACAUAAAUCCCCCCAAAUUAUUAAUCUAUGUUGUUUACUAAGAAGUGUAUUAAAAUGAUAUUGAAAAAGUUUGCUUUGGGAAAGAGCUAGAAGUUAGAAGGUCUAGGUUCAAAUCCCGCCUCUACUCCAUCCUUGACUAAGAUGUUGGACCCAUCACCUCAACUUUCCUUGGGUCUUUUUGCCCAGACAUGACCCGAUGACACAGAGCUUACCUGGACCUCCACAAUAGUAAAUAGAACAGGGCCAGCAAACCAAAAUUUGUUGAGUCCUUUAGAAUUAAGUAGCUUAGAUAAAUUUUCAUCAAAAUCUUUAUAUAGUAGGGAAUAGAAAAAAGUCAAUUCUGUUUUAUUUGAGGAUGUAUGAAUAUGUUACCAUUUUUCAGACUCUGAUUUACCUUCCAAUUAUUGUUUAUUGGGGUCAUUGUAAAUUAGUUAUCAUUUUUUGAAUACACAUUCACUGCUGACAAAGUGGUGAAGCCAGAAGUUAUGUUUGACCAGGGAAGAUUAUGACCCUCAAAGGAGAAAAAUUCACAGGGGGUAGUUGAUUAUUGGUGGAAUGGAGUGAGAGUGAAUUCCUUAAAAGUUUAAACGAAAGCAGAACUAUAUUCAUAUCAUGGAGGGAACUUAGUUUCUAAUAUGAUGAACUAUUGCCCCAAGUCAUGACAAUACCUUGCUCUCUGGAAGAGAAUGAGUGAGUUUUUCAUCCGCCAAGAUACACACUCUAUAUUUCCAACCAUCACAUCUGCCUUGCAGGCUGACUGAACCCAGAGCAAAUCAAUCACAAAAGUUAAUCCAAAAGACUUCCCUUCAGCUGCUGGAAAUCAGUCAUCACAUCUGUGAAAAGAGUGCUAGUUAUAACAAAUGAGAUCACAAAUUUGACCAUUUUAUUAGACACCCUCUAUUAGUGUUAACAGACAAAGAUGAAGGUUAAGUUGAAAUCAAAUUGAAAUCUUCUUCCCUCUGUACAGAUUGCAAUAUCUGAUAAUACCCUCAACUUUCUUGGUGCAAAUUAAUUGCCUGGUACUCACAGUCCAGUGUUAACAGGCAAUAAUGGUGUGAUUCCAGAGGAGAGUACUAGGUGGCAGGAAAAUAAAUGAGAUUAGCAGUAUUUGACUUGGAGCCAUAGGCAUCAAUUCUGCUCCAGCUGUCGACCAGGUUCUAAAAACAAGACUCGGAGCAGCUUUUGCUCUUGCUAGUGAUGCAGGGCCAGGAGAGCCCCCACACUCUGCAUUUGCAGGUGUCCAUGAGGGGAAGCCACUCCUGCAUUUAUCCUGUGAGUGGAGAAGCUCAGAGGAAUGAGGACAUUCCAACAGGGUAUCAGAAUUCUCUUUUGUUUAUGCUAAUUGACAGCAGGAACAUCACCAUCUUGGACAAACACCACCAUUUUAAGUUCUCUUUUAUUUAAAAACUGCCUAAAUCCAGCCCCAAAACAUCAGCCUAAUGGCUAUUGUCAGCAUAAUCAGAAACAUUCCAAACCCGCAGUAAACUUUCCUUCACAUGGAAACAUUCCAAACCUACAAAAAGCUUCCCUCUUCCUAAACCCUUAAAUAUCCUUAGUCUGCAAGAGAGAAUGCUCCUGACUGAAAUCAGCCAGAAGCCCCUCUCAGGUUUAUUCUCCAAAAUAAACCUGUCUUUGACUGUUGAGCCACUUUUUGUGUUUCUUUCCUCUUUGUUUAACCCUUACACUAAUGUUAAAUUUACAUAACAUUGAGUACUUCAUGCUUUCCAGAGAAUAAGGAGAAUGCACAUGAACUAAUGCAAAGUUACACAGGUAAUGUGACUUCAUCAUUAGCAUAUGGUGUUAUACAAAUAAAUUAUCCAAACUUUUGAAAUUGAUAUAUUUAUCAAUGGUAAAGCUAAUAAUUAUCAUUAACUGGAACCUUCCAUGUGCAAAAUACUACAUGUCUUAUGUCAUAAUCCUCAAAACCUGCAAACUAUUAUUAUUUACGUUUUAUAGAUAAGGAAACUAAUGAUCAGUGAGAUUGAAUCAACUGUUUUAAGUCAUCUAUAUAGUCAAUGAGACUAUAUUGACACCAGGUCAGUUUGAUUCCAAAUUAUAUGCUUUAUACCAUAUUGUGAUAAUAUAUACUUAGAGUUUCUACUUCUCUUGAGUUACACCAUGACCACCAUAAACUCAACCUGUCACUCAAAACAACAGAAAUGACAAUCCAAAGAUUCUGUAUUUGUAGGUUGAGGAUCAACUCAAAUAGUUACCUAAGUCCCAGACCAUUGUAGAAAACAUGGAUCUCCUAAAAUAGGAUGACAAGGCCAAGACCACCUUCGCCAGAUGGAGGCAGCAGAGAUCAGAGGAUUUGUAUACAGAAUCGCGCAGUCCCAGCUAAGUGAGGGCAGCUUGUCAACAGUAUAGGUAUAGGAAUACAAGAACGUGAAGUUGAUACACAGCUUUAGUCCUCACCUAAAAUCAUAUUGGAGACAUGGAGCAAGGUCAGUGAAGGGACAUUCAGCCAGAAAUGAGGAGGAAGAGGUCAAGAUGAACAGCAGGAGUCAGGAGUCUGUGUGUGAGCCAGUGAACCAGGAAGUCUCAGCCAGGUCAGCUGACCCAAAGGGAAAUCAGCUGCAUGGUCACUGUGCAGCUGAGUUUGAGUUGCAUGUUAUUCAUCUGCAUGGUCACUGUGCAACUGAGUUUGAAUGGCAUGUUAUUCAUCUUUUUUUCCAUAAGUGAGAAGUGUUUUAAGCUGGUAACUUUCUAGAUACCCACUUUAAUGUUAAUAGAUUUUUUUUCCAUCCCAAAAGGGAUGAAUGCAAAGGCCCUAGCAAGAACACAGCUAUCAUUUUCCACUGGAGUUAUUAUCCAGGGAUGGGGGUGGUGAACUCAUCCUGGCUCAUAAUGUGUUAGAAGAUAAAUCACUCCUUCUAAGUAAAAGCAAACCUUUCAGUGGUAUUUCUAGGAGAACACAUGCUGCCUGGUGAGCAGAGGUUACUCAGGAAUAUGCUGGUAAAUUGAGAGAAACCAUCCUCAUCUCCCACUCUCCAACACCCUCUGUUUUAAGAGCAGGAAAUUCGCUUCAAGGAAACAAGAACUCAUAGGGGUAGAAAGGAGCCCAGAGAUCACCUAGCUCAACUGUGCACUUUAUGAAUGUGAAAAUAAGAUACUGAGAAGGUGUUAAAUGCCAUUAGUUCACUAUCUUGCCUGUAUUGCAACAUCGGCCUUCUGUUUCCCUGUUGAGUUCUUUACUACAUGCUUAAAGCAACAUCAGACACGUAGGGGAGGCUGCACAGAAAGCAGAAGGCCAGUGAAGAAGGUUUACACAAUUCUCCAGAAAACAUAAAAGAGAAAAGGAUUGAAACUGACUCUUACGUUUUCAGAGAGAUAAAAUAUAAACAAGAAAAAUUUGAAAUUUAACCCCAGAAGACAGAUAAGAUCCUAUUAGUUUAAUCAAAAAGUUGGUAACACAAACACAUGACUAAGAUAAAGGGGCAUAAAAUGUACCUUACCCCCACCCCCAACAAAAAAAUCUAAUCUCAUCUAAGAUGCAGAAGAAAACAACUAUAAAUCAAGAAGAUACACAACUUAGGAGAAAUCUACCAGCCUGAAGCCAUCAAUAGUGUGGGGAACAUUUGGUUAAGGAUAAAUGGAGAGGAAGCUUAGCUGAUACAGUUUUAGAAUUGAGGUUAUGGAUGAUGUUAUCCUGGUACACAGACCUAGUAUCACAAACCUGACAGAGAAAUAAGAUCUAGUAGCAGCAAGGAAUUCCAACUAUGGACAUUUGCUGGAAGUCUCAUUCUCAGAAUAUCUGAUAAAUCCCUGGCUUGUCUUAUUGACAAUUUAAUCUCCCAGAACAGUGAGGUAAAAUUCAAUUCUCGAAUCAAAUAAAGGAGUUAUCCAAAAUUUUUCUUUUAUGGUAGUGUUUCUUAAGGAAUCAUUGGCCAACAUUGCAAAACCCAGUCUCUACUAAAAAUACAAAAAUUAGCUGGGCAUGGUGGCACGUGCUUGUAAUCUCAGCUACUCAGGAGGCUGAGGCAGGAGAAUUGCUUGAACCCAGGAGGCAGAGGUUGCAGUGAGCCGAGAUUACACCCCAGCCUGGGUGACAAGAGCAAAACUCCGUCCCAAAAAAAAAAAAAAAAAAAAAAAAGAUCCAUGAACCACUACUGGGUGUUCACAAGGUUAACAUGUUUUUUUGAAAAAUACUAUCACAUUUUUUAUUUUCACUCCUUUAAUAUUUGCAUGAAAGGUGCGAAAGCAAUGGUGAGUAAAACAUCCGUCCUUAGCAUAAAUCAACUAGUGGCAUCUAAUUGUCUGGUGGUCAUUUGAUUCUUCGCUACCACACACUCAAAUAAAUCAAUAUAUAAAUAAGUAAGCAGAAGCCACUGUUGUUUGUUCAAGAAUGUCCUAAUGAAGCAGUGGAAGUAUUAAUUUUAUUAAAUCUUGACCCUUGAGUACAGAUCUUCUUAAUAGUUUGUAUGGCAACAUGGAAAGUACACCACAGCUAAGGUAUGUCAAACUACAAUGAUUGUCUCAAGAAGAAGCAUCUGUGCAAUCAUUUGAGUUGCAAGCUGAACUAGCCACUUUUUUUUUUCAUGGAACUACCUUUUUAUUUGAAAAAUUAGCUAACAAAGUAUAUGUAUUCAGGUUUGGUCAUUUAGCAGGCUUUUCUUGAAAUAAAAGGAGAGAGUGUGUAAUGUCAAGGAAAAGAAUUGAUAGUAUUUGUGGUCUAAUAAAACUUCAGUUUUCUGGUGAAAUUAGAAUUUCUGAAAACUUUUACUCACCAAGAUGACCCUGACGGUGGCAAAUAUUUGAACACUUUUCUAGUGAUGUCAAUGGUGGGUUUUUUGAUAUCAUACAAUUACAUGUGUAAACAUUUGAAAAACCAAAUGCAUGAUGUUGCAAAAUCAUGCAUGAGUAAAAAGUAGCAUUCAAAGUGCAAGACAGACUAAUGGAUUUUAAUGCAAAAGAGUAUGCAAAAUUUAUCAAUAGGUUUCCAAUUUCAUAUCACAAGCAACUUUAAGAAAACAUUACUACUCAAAAUUGUUGUUGUUAACGUCAAUAAAGAAUAUCCGCAGUUAACUGAAAAGGCUGUAAAAUAACCCUCUCAUUUUAACCCAUUUAUGCCUGAGGUUGCAAUUUUUUGAAUUUGAAAAAUCAGACCUUGGUGAUGGCCUUGAGCAGUAGGAUAUAAAUAACUCCCACAUGCUUAGCGUUCCAAUAAUGGAACAGUAGGCAUAAAUGGCACCAACAAUUUUGACUAUAAACUACCUAUUUGAGUUUAUAUUUUCUUCAUUUACUUCAGCCAAAGCAAUAGCACAGCAGACUAAAUGCAGAAUCAGAUACGAGAAGCCAGACACCAAAGAAAUUCAUAGAAAUUAAAACAAUACUAUUCUUUCCACUAAUUAUUUUUAAAAUGUCAUAUAAAAUUGGCGUGUCAUAUAACAACAUCAUAUAAAAUUCAAUAUAAAUUUCAAUGAGUUCAUUGCUAUUUUUAAAUUAAUUCUCUAAACAUUUUUAUGGUAAAUGUCAAUAAUAACUCACAUUAGUGAAAGCUCUUUGGGGUCCUCCAUCAUUUUUAAAGGCAUAAAGGGAUCCUGAGAUGAAAAUGUUUCAUAACCUCUGUUUCAUGAUAGCCCCAACCUCCACCAUUCCCAGCAAACCUAUUUCCCUUAACUUGCUUAAUUUUUUCCGUAGCACUCAGCCCCUCCUAGCAUAUUUUGCUUUGAUUCUCUGUUUGAUGUUUAUCUCCCACAACUGGAAUCUUUACUCCAUGGUGAAGGAACCUUGUCAUAGUUUUGUGCACUCUUCUAUUCUUGGUGCAGAAGAUAUCCUGGCAUAUAGUAGGCACUCAAUGAAUAUUUGUUGAGUGAAUGACUUAAGUGAAUGAUUAAUAAUAUCUGUCCUUCAAAGGCUUCCCGCCACCAGCCCUCCCAUUUUUAUGGUGCAAGUCUCUAGGAUUUUCCAUCAGUGUCUGUCUGAACUUGAGCAGACCCACAGUUGCUACCCGAGACAUGCUUGACCUUGCCUGUUUAUACCCCUCUGCAAGGAGAGCUCAGUGCAUACUGUAGAUGAUUUUUCACCUGGAAAAGUCUCUUUAAAACUCAGAGCACUAUGUCAGUCUUGUAUCCAAACAUCCUAAAGUAUUUCCAUUUCCUUUUAGUAAAAUUACAGAGCAGCACUUCAGGCACUGCCAGACGCCUUGGUCUCGAACUGCGACCACUAAUUGUCUACUCAGACUAUGUUGCUUUAACGAGGGAAAGUCGAAGCUUCUUCACCUAACGAUAACACUAAUCUCAAAAUCACAAGCUUAUAGCUUAAGACAAAUUCAGAAAAAUGUCUGGGAGUAUUAUUUAAAAAGUACAAGCUCACUAUGAGUGAAACAGAUUAUGAUACAAUCUUGUGCUGUGCCCAUUAAGGAUAGUGUUGACCAAAAAAAAAAAAAAUUAGUGCUUUUGCACAUAAUUUGUACUGGCAAAGCCACAUUUCCAAAGAAGGAGUCAUAAAUGAAAUUGUCAUAGAAGGGAGAGAUGAGGGCAAACAAGGAAUGCUUUGUCUAAGAGAGUGAAGACAGUGGGGCAUGAGGGUUGUUUUCAGAUACAUUAAGGCCUCAGUCCCUGUGGCCCUGGGAGUCAACGCUAGAUAAAUUGGUAUAAGGGAAGCAGUUUUAACAUUAUCAUAAAUAAAUACAUAAUAAUUUCAGGUAUUUGGGAGUGGGACAGAUUCCCUUGCCUGGCUGCGAGCGUGCCUUUCUCUAGAGUAUUUAAGAAUGCUUAUUGGCUAGCUGCAGGAAGAAACCUUAAGACAGGGAUUUCUUCAUUAGUUUGGCUUGGAAGGAUGAAGGGGUUCUUAUAUGUCUUUUAAAGUUUUGAGGGUUUGUUGUUUGUUUUACCAAUAAGAUUAUGGUAAAAAUAUAGAUUCCUAUUUUUGUAUUCUAGUAUAUUUCUGCAUUUAUUUAUUUUUUGUCGGGGGGGUGGGACGGAGUUUCGCUCGUUUCCCAGGCUGGAGUGCAAUAGCGUGAUCUCGGCUCACCACAACCUCCACCUCCUGGGUUCAAGCAAUUCUCCUGCCUUAGCCUCCUGAGUAGCUGGGAUUACAGACAUGCACCACCAUGCCUGGCUAAUUUUGUAUUUUUAGUGGAGACGGGCUUUCUCCAUGUUGGUCAGGCUGGUUUUGAACUCCCGACCUCAGGUGAUCCGCCUUCCUCAGCCUCCCAAAGUGCUGGGAUUACAGGCGUGAGCCACUGAACCUGGCUAUUUCUGUAUUUUUAUGUGCCACUUUUUAUGACAAUUAAUUCAGAAAAUUCAGAACAAUAACACUGUAUUUCAAUUGCUUGCAAAUUUAAAAUAUUUCUCUAUAAACAUUCAUUCAUUUUUACUGUUUAAAGGAAAGGAUGACAUUGAUGGCAUAAUACUGAAUCUUAAUUCUUCAAUAAAGUUAUUAGUAAUUUUCUUUAUUUUACAUGAAGUAACUACUUCACUAGACCCUUCAUUGAUGGUGCAAAGGGGAAACUUGAACACAAGCCCUGUGAGAUAAAUUAACCUGGCUGAACCUGCUGUCACUAACAACCUCUCCAGUCAGGUGAAAUGUCCAGCUUGUUAACUAAGAUGCAAUUGAGUUUCUUUUUUUUUCUCUUUUCUUUUCUUUAUUUGAGACAGGGUUUUACUCUGUUGCCCAGGCUGGAGUGCAGUGGCAUGAUCACAGCUCACUGCAGCUUCAACCUUCUGGGCUCCAAUGGUCCUCCCACCUCAGCCUCCUGAAUAGCUGGGACUAAAAGUGCACACCACCAUGCCUGGCUAAUUUUUAUAUUUUUUGUAGAGACAGGGUUUGUCAUGUUGCCUAGGCUGGUUUCAUACUCCUUGGCCCAAGAGAUCCUCCCACCGUAGCCUCCCAAAGUGCUGGGAUUACAGGUGUGAGCCACUGCGCCAGGCCCUGAGUUUCUAAAGAAUUGUUAAAACUGCCUUAACAUAUUUUUGAGACAUACACACACAAAAUCUUGGAAUGCAAAUUGAUGAUGGCAGAACAUCCAGCCUAUAGAGUGUGAAAUUAACAGAAUCCAAGAGCACAGAAAUAAUCUAAUCAGUUGACCAAAUGAAUAAUUCUUACUUUGACUCUCUGGGUUACCUAGACAGAAUAUUUAGAAAGGUGGUAAUAAACUACAGAGAAUCUAGCAAAGUAUGGGAUAAAUUGUCAGAUUAAAAAUAAUAACUGUAUAUACAAAAUUGAUUGUAUUUAUGUGAGCAAUGAACAAUUGGUCAUUGAAAUUUUAAAAUAUUACUGUUUGAAAGAGCAGCAAAAACUUAGGGAUGAGUCUAACAAAAGAUGUGGAAGAUUUGUAUGAUGAAAGCUGUGAAACAUUGGUGAUAAAAAUGAAAGAAAUCCAAUAAAUGUAGAGGAUGUAUGGUGUCCCUGAGUGGAAAGCCCCAAGGUUGUUAAUACAUCAGUGCUCCCGCAAAAGAUCCAUAGACUCACAUAAUACAAAUAAAAUUCUUAGAAGGGCUUUUUUUUGGGGUUAAAAUUUAUGAGUUGAUCCUAAAGUUUAUACAACAAAGCAAAGAACUUAAAACACCGAAAACAGUUUUGAAGAAAAAAAAAAUCAGAGAACUUGUUGUACCUAAUUUCAAGACUUACAGAAAAGCACAGAAAUCAAGGAAGGUAUUGGUAAAAGAAGAGACUUUCUAGCUCAAUGGAUCUGAAUAGAGAUUCCAGAAAUAGACCUACACAUACAUGGUCAGUUAUUUUUUGACAAUGGUGCCAUUUAAUGGGCAAAAGAUAGCCAUUUCAACAAAUUAUACCAGAACAAUUGUUCAUCCAUAUGCCAAAAAUAAAAUUUAUAUGAAAAAAGUGAAAUUUACACUAUAUAAAAUUAACUUGAAACAGAUCACCUAAAUAUAAGACCUACAACUAUAAAACCUCUAGAAGAAAAUACAGAAGAAAAUUAUUGAGACCUUGGCAAAUAAAUCUUAAGACACAAAAGAAAAAUUCUGCUGAUCAUUUUUAGACAUUUAGCGUGUCAUCUGAUUUCUCAACAGCAGCACUGAGAGUUGGAAGGCAAUGGCAUAAUAUGCUGAAAGAACAUGAUAACUGUCAACCAGAUUUAUAUCCUCAGUGAGAAUAUUUUUAGGAAUGAGAGCUAUACCUAUUUCCAGACAAAAUAAAACAGAAAUUUGCCACCGAAAAAAGAAAAAAUCAUAAAAGAAGCAAUUGAUUAACUGGACUUCAUCAAAAUUAAAAACUUCUGCUCUUUGAAACAGACUGUUAUUAAAAAAAAAAGUAAGCUGCAGGCUGUCAUUCAGGCUGGAAUGCAGUGUGCAAUCAUGGGCCCCUGGGCUUAAGUGAUCCUCCUGCCUCAGCCUCCUGAGUAGCUAGAAAUAAAGGCCCAAGCCACUGCACCUGGCUAAUAUUUUUUUAAAAAAUUUAUAGAGAUAGGGUCUUGCUAUCUUGCCCAGCCUGGUCUCAAACACCUGGUUUCAAGCCAUUCUCUCACUUUGGCCUCCCGCAGUGCUGGCAUUCCAGGCAUAAGCCACCACACUGGGCCUCUACUCUACUUUUCGAUGUUUAGGUAUGUUUAGAUACACAAAUACCUACCAUUGUGUUAACAAUUGCCCGUAUAUUCAGUAGAAUCACAUGCUGUACAGGUUUGUAGCCUAGGAAAAAAGUAUGGCACACUGUUCAGUAAAAAUUUGCAGGGUAAAAUAAGCGAAUAAAAUCCCACUUUGUUGUUGUUGUUGUUUUCUAUUAUCCAAGAGAACUUUGAAAUAGCUCCAGAAAACAUAUUUCUUAUUCCAAACACAUUCAUCUUCAUUUCGAAAGUAAAAAAACUAAAAUACUAACUCAGAGAAAAAUCAAAUGUUUAAUUUUGGAAAGUAUAAAAAUUUACCAAGAUUAUUAACAAGUAGUUACAUACUUGAUUUAAAAUGCAUGUUGUCCUUUAAGCUGCACAGACCAAAGAAGUCUUUUCCAAGCUUCUUGGUGCAGAACUAUGCUGACUCAACUGAGUACUCACCCAGGCUUGGGGUCAAUUCAAACCUUCCUUUAAUUAAAAAAAAAAAAUUUCUCCCUCCCUGAAGCAAGCUUCCUUCCAUGCUGCUACUGUUAUGUGAAGAUGGAGCAGCCUCUUUCCAAAAAUCCCAUAAAUCAGCAGCUCUUAGAUUUCAUGGCAUCAUGUUGAUAUUGCUUCUUGACUCUCUAAGGUUUAGCAUUUUUUGAUCACCUUUUCUUCUAAGAAAGAAUCUCAGCUUUUUGGUAGUAAGUUGAGAGUUAAACUUCCGAUUGACAGCUACUUAACUCAUGUCCAAAAAUGUUGAGAUAAAUGGUAGUUGAGACAGUCCAAGGAACAAGUUGAACUUUGUCAUUAGAUACUUGUGUCAAGCAGAGCAUGAGAAUGUAAACUCCUUGGUUUAAAAUGAUUUGGUCCUCAUAGAAGCCCUUUCCCUGAACAAAGAUUCAGGACCAUGCUCUCAGCUCUUACCAAAGGCUGGUAUAAGAAAAACCUUCGUGAAGUGCAGUUAUUUAUUAUUUUUAAGUAAAGUUUAUUUUUUCCGUAUAUGAGUAAUUCAUACUCAUUAUAGACAAAUUGGAAAAAUACAGAAAAGCAAAAGGAAGAAAAAUUUUAAGAUAGUCCCAUUCCCCAAAACAAUAUGGUUCAUUUCCACUCUCUCUUUGUUCUAUGAAAUUAUUUUUAAAAUCUUCCGGUAAGAUAAUAAACAUAAUUUACAAAGCAUAUGUUUUCUGGGAAAAUAGUUCUGAGGACAUGGUUUAUGUUAUGUCCCUAAUAAGAGUCUACAGGAUUUCUUGAUAGAAUAUAAAAUUGUCUCUUAUAGCAAGUCAAUAUGGUUUCUUUUAUCACACAAACUGCAUAGAGCAUUAUCUUAUUUCUCUAUUAUACUGGGUAACAAGAAAUUCAGACAAUUUCGUGCUCAUUUUUAGUAAUGUUCUCCCCUAAUCUUCCUCUUCCCCCUCUCUUUCCAUGUGAGUUCUGUUUUCUCUUUUAUCUUUAUUUUAUCUACCAUGCAUAUAAAAUAUAAAUGAGCCCCUUUUUGUAAAAAUCACUUACCAACUCCCUUUUGAGGAAAGUAAGACGCAAAUAAAUAGAUUGGCAGUCUGGGAGAAGCACAGUAACUCUUUUACUUUUAUUCUGGUGAAAAUGCAAAGAAUAAAACCUAAUAUUCACCAGAGGAGAAGGGACACACAGGGUGAGACAGAAAAACAUACAGGGGCUGGGGACGGUGGCUCACGCUGUAAUCAGAGCACUUUGGGGGCCAAGGUGGGCAGAUCACUUAAUGUCAGGAGUUUGAGAUCAACCUGGCCAACAUGGUGAAAUCCCGUCUCUACUAAAAAUACAAAAUUUGUCAGGUGUGGUGGUGUGUUCCUGUAUUCCCAGCUACUCAGGAGGCUGAGGCAGGAGAAUUCCUUGAUCCCGGGAGGUGGAGGUUGCAGUGAGCUGAGACAGCCUCACUGCACUCAGCCUGGGCCACAGAGCGAGACUCCAUCUCAAAUAUAUAUAUAUAUAUAUAUAUAUAUAUUUUUUUUUUUUUUUUUGAGACAUGGAGUGUCUACAAACUACAAAAUUCAACCAUAACACUAAGAUCUUGCUGGGUACAAAAAUGUACACACACAAAAAUAAAAUAAUAAAUGUGAUGCACGGAAGAUAAGCAGACUAAUGUUUAUUGGGAUAAUUUCGCUUACUAACCAUGCUAUAUCCUGUUAUCACUCACCUCAAACCCUACUGUCAUCUAAAAGGGGAAUCCCUUUCCUUGUAGGUGAAAAGGGAUUCUCCUUUUAUAUGGCAGUAGGGUUUGAAUGCAUUCUUGGUUAUUCUGAAUGCACUCAAAAUAUCAAACUGUAGCCGUUUUGUUGCUCGUGAGUAUCUCAUGCUACUGUUGCCCUGAAAAGUCCAUGCAGUAUGGAGAUGCUGAAGGGAACUCAGGCCACUUCGACAGGUCAGUUAUAUGGUAAGGUGGGAAUGGGCAGAGAACGGGGAUGACGUGGAAAAUAAUAUAAAUUUUAAAGACUCUAAGGGUAAAACUAUUAAAAAGAGAAAAUUCACAAGUUUGGAAAAUAAAAAGGGAAAUGAGUUUAAUGCAAGUCAUGGAAUCUACUGGACUAUCCUCUGCGAGAAGAUUUAGGACGUUAGCUCAUGGUUGUUGAGCUGGGACUGGCUCUGCAGAGAAGAGAGGAAGAAGCUUGGGAUACUGUUGGAAGAUUAGGGAGAUCCUGGGAAGGCCGAGUGUGUUUUGAUAAAUGCAGUUUCAGCCUCACACAUUGAAAGAUCUGAGAAAAUACAAUAAAUUGAUAAUAUAAUAGUAAAGAUAAUAGUCAUAAAAAUGACAGUGUUUUGCAAUUAAUGUGCUGCCUUUGUAUUUGCUAACAUUAUUAAACCUUCAAAAUCCUGAUUGAGUAGGUGGAGCAUAUUAUUAUUAUCCCCAUUUUCAAUAUCAGGAAGUGAAGCUCAUCGUUGGCCAAAUGGCUUACCUGAAGUCACACAGUAAGUGACAGUAUACCUCUCAGAAAAUGUCCCAACAGGGAGGGAAAAAGCAUGGCACACUGUUUAGUAAAUAUAUGUAGGAUGAAAUGAAUGAAUAAAAUCCUACUUUGUUGUUGUUGUUUUUUCUAUUUCCAUUAUCCAAGAGAACUUUGAAAUAGCUCCAAAGGCCGGGCACAGUGGCUCAUGCCUGCAAUCCCAGCACUUUGGAAGGCCGAGGUAGGCACAUGACCUGAGGUCAGGCAUUUGAGACCAGCCUGGCCAACACGGGGAAACCCCGUCUCUACUAAAAAUACAAAACUUAGCUGGGUGAGAUGAUGUACGCCUGUAAUCCCAGCUACUCAGGAGGCUGAGGCAGGAGAAUUGCUUGAACCUGGGAGGUGGAGGUUGCAGUGAGCUGACAUCGCACCACUGCUCCAGCUUGGGCAAAAAGAGCGAAACUCCGUCUCGGAAAAAAAAAAAAAUAGCUUCAGAAAAUAUAUUUCUUAUUCUGAGCAAAUGCAUCUUUAUUUCUAAAGAAAACCAACUAAAACACUAACUCAGAAACAAAAUCAAAUGUUUAAUUUUGGAAAGUAUAAAAAUUCAAAAAAAGAAAACUAAUAUUACUGAUACCCCAGAGAUAAGCACAAGUAACAGUUUGGUGUUAUCCCUACAGUUGAUUUUCUAUGUGUUUUUCUGCAUGUAUUUUUUGAAGUUACAUAUAUCAUGCAUAAAUUUGUUUUUCAGAAUUUACAAAUAUAUUGUAAACAUUUUACCAUCAAUAAAUGCUACAGCAUGAUUUUGUCUCUAUUAUGGUAAAAAACAUGCAACAUGAGUUCUACCCUCAACAAAUAUUCAAGUAUACAACAUAGUAUUGUUAACCAUGUGUGCACUGUUCUACAGCAAAUCUCUAGAACUUUUUCAUCAUUCAUGAUCAAAAUUCUAUACCCAUUAAACAGCAACUCCCCAUUCGGCCUAUCCCCCAGUCCCUGGCAACCACCAUGCUAUUUUCUGCUUCUAAGAGUUUGGUUACUUUAACUACUUCAUAUAAGUAGAAUCAUGUAGUAUUUGUCCUCUGACUGGCUUAUUUCACUUAAUAUAAUGUCCUCAAGUUUCAUCUAUGUUGUAGCUACAUGACAGAAUUUCCUUUUUUCUUAAGGCUGAAUAACAUCACACACACACACACACACACACACACACACACACACACACACACACAGUGUAUUUCCAUUAUUUUGAAUAAAUACCCAGAAGUGGGGUUGCUGGAUCAUAUGGGAGUUCUAUUUUAAAUUUUUUGAGGAGCCUCCAUAUCUUUUUUUCAUAAUGGCUGUACCUACCAAUUUACAUUCCCACCAAGAGUGUACCAGCCUUUCAAUUUCUCCACUUCCUUGCUAAUAUUUGUUAUUGUCUCUUUUUGUUUUUUGUUUAAAUAAUGGUUAUCCUGACAGGUGUGAGAUAAUAUCCCACUGUGCUUUUGAUUUGCCUUCCCCUGCUGAUUAGUGAUGCUGAGCACCUUUUCAUAGACUGGUGGCCAUUUGUAUGUCUUUUUUGGAGAAAUGUUUGUCCAAAUCCUUUGCCUAGUCUUUAACUGGGUUAUUUGGUUUUUUGCUAUUAAGUUGUAGCGGUUCCUCACAUAUUUUGGAUAUUAGUCUCUUAUAUAUAUGACUUGCAAAUAUUCUCUCCAAUUCCAUAGGAUGCCUUUUGCUCUGCUGAUUGUUUUCUUUGCUGCACAGAAGCUUUUUGGUUUCAUAUAGUCCCACUUGUCUGUUUUUGCUUUUUUAACCUCUGAUUUUGGUGUCAUAGUCAAGAAAUCAUUGCCAAGACCAGUCGUGUAAGGCACCUCCCCUACAUUUUUUUUCUAGGAGUUUUAUAGUUAUAGCAUGAUUUUUAAAGACUGCCUAAUAACUCAUUGGUUGGAUCUACCAGAAUUUAUUUAACUAACAUUCAGGUACUAAACAUAUAAGUUGUUUCUAAGUUUUGGCUAAUUUAAACUUUGCUACAAUAAACAACUUUGCAUCUAAAUUUCUUUGCACCUAUCCAUGCAUACUUCCCUAAGAUUAAAUUCCUAUAAAUACAAGCGGUAAGCCAAAAGCAUUAAACAUUCGAAGUCUUUGGAUAUUUAUGGAUACAAUGUACCCCUUGGCCAAUGUUAGAGUAUGAAAAUAUGUAGAAUAAAUGGCAAUGGGGAGGUAGAAUAGACUCCACAUUCUGUGCCUUAUCAUAUGUACACCACACUUAGAAUCCAGAUAAUUUCAAUGGGGAAGAACUGAGGGAGAUGCAAAGGAAGCUUAUUGGGUUUCACAAAAGCCCACUGGUAAAUGACAGAGAACGUGAAAGGCCACAUGUCUAAUCAGAGACUUUUAUUAUAGAAUAGUAUAAAACAAAAAAGCAUGUCAAAAAAAUAGAUAAGGCAACAAUAAUCACAAAAAAUUCCCAGGUCUAAUCCAUGCGGGAGGGAGCUCAAGGCCAGGACAAGCCACUUGUUGGCAACGAUCAUAAAAUACUCGCACGCAACAGAGAAAAAAGCAAAAUUCUUCCUAUGUCCCCCUUUUUUUUUUCCUGUUAUGACAAAUGACCUACAAAUGAAAAAGUGUAAGAAUAUUGGAAGAAGAUGUCAUUUCAGAGGAGUUUUACUCUUUAGUUUCAGACAGUCUUUCCCAGGGUGGUAGGAAAGGUUAUGCAGAUGGGUAUGAAUACAUGCUGUUGGCCGUCUUUUGAGAAAUAACAUAGGUAUUAUUAUUAUAUUGAGAAUAGCUUACGGAGAAGAAGCACUGGACAUCUUGAUCUGGAUAUAUUCUGAGUAGAUAUUUUUAAAAAAGGUGGUGGGGGUGAAGGAUGGAAACCAUCAUGACCAUAGACUGGUAACCUUGUCAUUUCUCCAGGGAAAAUACUCAGGCAGAGAAUUAAAAGGAGGAUUCUGGAGCAUUCUUUAGCAAAAUAAGUGAUUGCCAAGAUCAUGAGAAAUGGAUCAGGCUAAUGGGGCUACCGCCUCCCUGGCACAUGCCCCUGUGUGCACCAGAUGCAGCUUCCCCUCUUGAGCUAACACAGCCCUGCAGUCCAUGCCAGAGUGGACAACGUCCAUCAGAAACGUCCAUCAAUGUCCAUCAGAAAGAGGCACCUGGAAGGUGUCUUUGGGCAGAAAUAAUCCUCCAACACAGCUGGAUUUAAGCUCCCACUGACUGCCUUGGGCAGAUGCCCUUGUUUAGAGCUGAGAUUCCAUCAUGCCAAACUAGAACGGUAUAGCAUUUGUGGUUAAGAGCUUGGCUGUCUGAUGGGCUUGGAUUAGCUUCAGACCUACCUGUUACUAGCUUAGUGACCUCUUUGUGACAUCUUCUGUCCUGUAAAGUUGAUGUCUUAAUGAUGUCUUCCUUGCUGUGCUUGUUUGAGAAGAAAAAGCUAGACCAGCAGGAUAAAAGCUCCCAUAAAUAACAUUAUGUUUCAAUGCAAGGAAGAAUGUUCUUUAAAAAGUCACCUGAUAAAAACAGAAUGGGCUGCCCAUGAGAUGGUCACAGCCAGGGUACGAUGAGGCAGAGUUGGGAUGGUUCUUUUCUCGUCUCCUCUAGACUGUGUGUCCUGAUUCUAAGAACUUCAGAAAACAUUACGUGCAUUUUAAAAAGCUGUAUGAACAUGUGGUGCUGCUGUGAGCAGUGGAUGGAUUGUGCUGUUUACAGGACAACCCCCACGAGGAAGUAGAAUGUUAAAAAAAUAAGCAAACAACAGACCAGGAAACCUCUGGUAGACCUGUCCUUUGUCACAUUUUGCUUCAAACACUCAAGUCAAAAGGAAUUGUUUAAUGGCUACAAUGAUAAAAGAUCCUUUCCAGAGAGAAGAAGUGAUUUAAAAAUUGAUGUCAAUGAAAUAUGUCAGUUAUCUUAUAUGAAAUGACCCUCUGACCAUCCAGGAUUUUGUGUGUGUGGUUUUGUGUGUGUGCGUGUGCGUGUGUGUGUGUGUGUGUGUGUGUUUUACCAGGGAAUUCAUUUAGAUUGUUAUUUCCCAAAUGAGUUGAGAUCAUGGAUUUUUACCAACAUACAUAAUUAAAGGCUCCAAUUAAUACUAUUUCCACAGUAAUUCCUUUUUUUCUAAGUUGUAUAACUUAGACUGCAGAUUUAGCAGAGACGUGACAUUUCACUAAAAAGUAGAAAUCAUAGACAAGUGUAGGGAUUUUCAUGAUGCCUAAAACAAAAGAUCAGUUAUUAAAAAUAAAGGCCUUCCCCCAAUAAAAAUGUCUAUCCGUUUGAAGUUUUAAUACGGUCUUAAAACAUUACAAAUAACUAACUUUACUUCGAAUAACAAAUAUUUGAAAAAGAAAAUAGGGUUGAAAGCCCAACUCUUAGAAACAACUUCCUAGAGAAAUCUUCCAGGCAUAAAUUACUUGUAAAAAGUAGCUGUGUCUGGAAAAGUGGGUAAAUAAUUUACUAUUCCAAUACAGAAACUUGCUAUUAAAGGAACAUGAAUGAAUCCUUUUAUUUAAAGAAGAAAAACCAAAAAAACAUUUAACAAGAGAAUUAGCAUUUCCCUACUUAUCUAUAUUAUAAUUUUGCACAUCAGUUUUUCUUGAGGUGUAAAAUACUAGCAAUAAUAAAUAAGCUAUGUUAUAAAAAUCUAAAAGUUAUUUAACAUGAUUUAUCUUAUUUGUUCUGUGUGACAGAGUUUGGGAGAACAGCUACCUACGGUACCAUUGAAGCAUAUGCACAACUAUGAAAUCAUGAAAGUGUGAACCUAGCCAAGGUCUCAAUCUUUACGGGUCCCACUUUUCUUAUCUUCACAAACAAGGAAGUUGGGUUAGAUUAAGUGUUUAAUGCUAACAUCCUUCUCUCUCUCUCUUUUAAAAACUAGAGCAUUUAUUAUAUGACUAAUUAUUAUUAUUAUUAUUAUUUACAUUUUAAUUUUUCUCUUAAAUUUCUUUUCUUUUUUAAAUUAUUAUUAUACUUUAAGUUUUAGGGUACAUGUGCACAAUGUGCAGGUUAGUUACAUAUGUAUACAUGUGCCAUGCUGGUAUACUGCACCCACUAACUCGUCAUCUAGCAUAGACAUCUACAGA
rnacentral:lncRNA from 1 species